AUUUAAGUAGCUUAUAAGUAGAGCAUUACAUUGAAGAUGUAAGGGAAGUAAUUUUUACUCUUAAAUA
rnacentral:tRNA from 1 species